GGAGGGAUACUCAAGCGGCCAACGAGGGCAGACUGUAAAUCUGCUGACUAACGUCUACGUAGGUUCGAAUCCUACUCCCUCCACCA
rnacentral:tRNA from 2 species